UACGUAGGGUGCGAGCGUUAAUCGGAAUUACUGGGCGUAAAGCGUGCGCAGGCGGUGAUGUAAGACCGAUGUGAAAUCCCCGGGCUUAACCUGGGAAUGGCAUUUGGGACUGCAAGGCUGGAGUUUGGCAGAGGAGACUGGAAUUCCCGGUGUAGCAGUGAAAUGCGUAGAUAUCGGGAGGAAUACCGAUGGCGAAGGCAGGUCUCUGGGCUAUAACUGACGCUCAUGCACGAAAGCGUGGGGAGCAAACAGG
rnacentral:rRNA from 1 species